CAAUAGCGUAUAUUAAAGUUGUUGCAGUUAAAAAGCUCGUAGUUGGAUUUCUGGUUGAAGCGACCGGUCGGGCGUUGAUUCGUCUGCACUGGAGUCGGUUUUGGCCAUCCUCUAGGAAAGUGCGUCUGGUAUUAAGUUAUCGGGCGUAUGAUCCUGGUCUUUUACUGUGAAAAAAUUAGAGUGUUUAAAGCAGGCCUUCGCCUUGAAUACAUUAGCAUGGAAUAAUAAGAUAGGACUUUGGUCUAUUUUGUCGGUUUGCAGACCGAAGUAAUGAUUAAUAGGGAUAGUUGGGGGUAUUUAUAUUCCGAUGUCAGAGGUGAAAUUCUUAGAUUUUCGGAAGAUAAACUUAUGCGAAAGCAUUUACCAAGGAUGUUUUCAUUAA
rnacentral:rRNA from 1 species